rnacentral:rRNA from 1 species
CCUACGGGAGGCAGCAGUAGGGAAUAUUGGACAAUGGACGCAAGUCUGAUCCAGCCAUCCCGCGUGAAGGAUUAAGGCCCUAUGGGUUGUAAACUUCUUUUCUUUGGGAAUAAAAAGCGGUAUUCAUAUCGCCUUGAAGGUACCAGAGGAAUAAGCACCGGCUAACUCCGUGCCAGCAGCCGCGGUAAUACGGAGGGUGCAAGCGUUAUCCGGAUUCACUGGGUUUAAAGGGUGCGUAGGUGGCUUUGUAAGUCAGCGGUGAAAGCCUGGAGCUCAACUCCAGAAUUGCCAUUGAUACUGCAGAGCUUGAAUCAAGUUGAGGUGGAUGGAAUAUUACAUGUAGCGGUGAAAUGCUUAGAUAUGUAAUAGAACACCGAUUGCGAAGGCAGUUCACUAAGCUUGUAUUGACACUGAGGCACGAAAGCGUGGGGAUCAAACAGGAUUAGAUACCCUGGUAGUCCACGCCCUAAACGAUGCAAACUCGACAUUAGCGAUAUACAGUAGUGUCGACGACGAAGACGUUAAGUUAGUCGACCGUCGGUAAGGUACGUACCGCGAGUAGUUAACGUUACAAUUAGAGUUAGACGGCGNGAGAGNGCGACGGACGACGACGAGGGAGGAGG